rnacentral:tRNA from 1 species
GGGCAAGUGGCGGAAUUGGCAGACGCGCUAGCUUGAGGGGCUAGUGAAAAUUUUUUUUCGUGGAGGUUCAAGUCCUCUCUUGCUCACCA